AAAAGGAAGCAAAACAGAAUCUGAGUUGAGAAUUUCAACAAUUUAAGUCUGUUUGUCGACAAGUCCAUUCCACCAUAUAGAGGUAAAAUAGUUUUUAUAACGGUUGGAGAGGGAGCAAUUUAUGUUGUAUGAAAGUGUUGAAUAAAUUUUCCCCAAGUCUUAUCAAAUUUAACCAAGGGUUCAACAAUG